rnacentral:pre_miRNA from 1 species
UUUGUAAUCCCUCCGUCCCGAAAUUCUUGUCUUAAAUUUGUCUAAAUACGGAUGUAUCUAGUUACAUUUUAGUGUUAGAUACAUCUGUAUCUAAACAAAUGUAAGACAAGAAUUUUUGGACGGAGGGAGUACUAC